UACGUAGGGCGCGAGCGUUGUCCGGAUUUAUUGGGCGUAAAGAGCUCGUAGGCGGCUUGGUAGGUCUGCUGUGAAAACUCGGGGCUCAACCCCGAGACGUCGGUGGAAACCACCUGGCUAGAGUCCGGAAGAGGAGAGUGGAAUUCCCGGUGUAGCGGUGAAAUGCGCAGAUAUCGGGAAGAACACCCGUGGCGAAGGCGGCUCUCUGGGACGGUACUGACGCUGAGACGCGAAAGCGUGGGGAGCGAACAGG
rnacentral:rRNA from 1 species